rnacentral:rRNA from 1 species
AUGGUUGGAGAGGUUGGCAAGUGGGGUAGUUCCUUCAAACAUUCGUGGGCUUUAAUCCCACUGGUUGCCCAUGGAAUCAUCGUGAUCGUAGUGGCUCUCGCUUACUCUUUCAUCUCGUCGCACAUAAAUGAUGAUGCCACGAGCGCCAUGGACGCGUCGCUGGCGCACGUCGCCGCCGGUGUGCAGCCGCUCGUGGAAGCCAACCGCUCCGCCGCCGUCGUCGCACACUCUCUGUUCAUCCCCAGCAACGAAUCAUCUUAUUUCCGAUACGUGGGACCGUAUAUGGUCAUGGCGUUGGCCAUGCAGCCGCAGGUGGCCGAGAUAUCAUACGCCAGCGUGGACGGCGCCGCGUUGACGUACUACCGCGGCGAGAACGGCCAGCCGAGAGCCAAGUUCGUGAGCGAGAGCAGCGAAUGGUACACCCAGGACGUUGAUCCUGUGAACGGCCGUCCCACCGGCCGCCCCGACCCGGCGGCUCAGCCGGAGCACCUACCCAACGCGACGCAGGUCCUCGCCGACGCCAAGAGCGGCUCGCCCGCCGCCCUCGGGGCCGGGUGGGUCAGCUCCAACGUCCAGAUGGUGGUCUUCUCCGCGCCUGUCAGUGACACUGCCGGCGUGGUCUCCGCCGCGGUCCCCGUCGACGUCCUCGCGAUCGCCAACCAGGGCGAUGCCGCCGCCGAUCCCGUCGCGCGGACGUACUACGCGAUCACCGACAAGCGUGACGGCGGCGCCCCGCCAGUUUACAAGCCUUUGGACGCCGGGAAGCCCGGCCAGCACGACGCGAAGCUGAUGAAGGCCUUUUCCUCGGAGACCAAAUGCACCGCGUCCGCCAUUGGCGCGCCCAGCAGCAAGCUCGUGCUCCGCACCGUCGGGGCGGACCAAGUCGCGUGCACGAGCUUCGACCUCUCCGGAGUAAACCUGGGUGUUCGUCUUGUGGUCAGCGACUGGAGCGGGGCAGCCGAGGUCCGGCGGAUGGGGGUGGCCAUGGUGAGCGUCGUGUGCGUGGCCGUGGCGGUCGCGACGCUGGUGUCCAUCCUUAUGGCACGGGCGCUGUGGCGGGCCGGGGCACGGGAGGCGGCUCUAGAGGCUGACCUCGUGAGGCAGAAGGAGGCGCUCCAGCAAGCGGAGCGCAAGAGCAUGAACAAGAGCAAUGCCUUCGCCCGCGCCAGCCACGACAUCCGCUCCUCACUCGCUGUCGUCGUUGGACUCAUCGACGUUUCCCGGAUAGAGGCCGAGAGCAACCCCAACCUCAGCUAUAACCUCGACCAGAUGAACAUUGGCACCAACAAGCUCUUCGAUAUACUUAACACGAUACUGGACAUGGGCAAGGUGGAGUCCGGGAAGAUGCAGCUAGAGGAGGUGGAGUUCAGGAUGGCAGACGUCCUUGAGGAAUCCAUGGACCUGGCGAACGUCGUCGGCAUGUCAAGAGGCGUCGAAGUGAUCUGGGACCCUUGUGACUUCUCCGUGUUGCGGUGCACCACCACCUUGGGCGACUGCAAGCGUAUCAAACAGAUCCUUGACAACCUACUUGGCAACGCCAUCAAGUUCACACACGAAGGCCACGUCAUGCUUCGGGCAUGGGCCAACCGCCCCAUCAUGAGGAGCUCCGUGGUCAGCACCCCAUCGAGGUUCACCCCCCGUCGCCCCGCGGGUGGGAUCUUUCGGCGGCUGCUUGGAAGGAGGGAGAACCGUUCUGAACAGAAUAGCCGAAUGUCCUUACAAAAUGAUCCGAAUUCGGUUGAGUUUUACUUUGAGGUGGUUGACACUGGUGUGGGGAUACCCCAGGAAAAGAGGGAGUCCGUGUUUGAGAACUACGUUCAAGUGAAGGAAGGGCAUGGUGGCACCGGGCUCGGACUUGGAAUUGUGCAAUCCUUUGUUCGUUUGAUGGGAGGAGAAAUCAGCAUCAAGGACAAGGAGCCAGGAGAAGCGGGGACGUGCUUUGGCUUCAACAUCUUCCUCAAGGUCAGCGAGGCGUCAGAGGUGGAAGAGGACCUCGAGCAAGGGAGGACGCCGCCGUCGCUGUUCAGGGAGCCCGCCUGCUUCAAGGGCGGGCACUGCGUCCUCCUCGCCCACGGCGACGAGACACGCCGGAUCCUGUAUACAUGGAUGGAGAGCCUCGGGAUGAAGGUCUGGCCCGUCACGCGCGCCGAGUUCCUCAUCCCGACCCUCGAGAAGGCGCGCUCCGCCGCCGGCGCCUCGCCGUUGAGGUCGGCGUCGACGUCGUCGCUGCAUGGCGUUGGGAGCGCCGACUCCAACAUUACGACGGACCGGUGCUUCAGCUCCAAGGAGAUGGUCAGCCACCUGCGGAACAGCAGCGGCAUGGCCGGCAGCCACGGCGGGCACCUCCACCCCUUCGGCCUGCUCGUCAUCGUCGACGUCUCCGGCGGGAGGCUCGACGAGGUUGCCCCCGAGGCGGCGAGCUUGGCAAGGAUCAAGCAGCAGGCGCCGUGCAGGAUCGUCUGCCUGACGGACAUCAAGACCCCCUCCGAGGAUAUGAGGAGGUUCAGUGAGGCGGCAAGCAUCGACCUCAACCUGCGCAAGCCCAUCCAUGGCUCCCGGCUGCACCAACUCCUCCAGGUCAUGAGAGACCUCCAGGCCAACCCGUUUACACAGCAGCAACCACAUCAGUCCGGCACGGCCAUGAAAGAACUGCCGGCUGCUGAUGAGACCUCUGCGGCGGAGGCGUCUUCUGAAAUCACGCCCGCGGCGGAGGCGUCUUCUGAAAUCACUCCCGCGGCGGAGGCGUCUUCUGAAAUCACUCCCGCGGCGGAGGCGUCUUCUGAAAUCACUCCCGCGGCGGAGGCGUCUGAAAUCAUGCCGGCAGCACCGGCGCCAACUCCCCAGGGACCGGCCAAUGCUGGAGAAGGCAAGCCGCUGGAGGGGAUGCGCAUGCUGCUGGUCGACGACACCACGCUGCUGCAGGUAGUCCAGAAGCAGAUACUGACCAAUUACGGGGCAACCGUGGAGGUCGCCACGGACGGCUCCAUGGCCGUGGCCAUGUUUACAAAGGCUCUUGAGAGCGCAAAUGGCGUCUCAGAGAGCCAUGUGGACACAGUGGCCAUGCCCUACGAUGUCAUCUUCAUGGAUUGCCAGAUGCCAGUGAUGAAUGGCUACGAUGCUACGAGGCGCAUCCGCGAGGAAGAAAGCCGCUACGGCAUCCGCACCCCGAUCAUCGCGCUGACCGCGCAUUCCGCGGAGGAGGGGCUGCAGGAGUCCAUGGAAGCAGGGAUGGAUCUUCACCUGACGAAGCCCAUACCCAAGCCGGCAAUCGCACAGAUUGUUCUAGACCUCUGCAACCAAGUUAAUAACUGA